rnacentral:rRNA from 1 species
AUUUAUAGCAAAGAUAUAGCUACUGGGGAGGGUGCGGAAGGUUUUGGCGAAGCUAUAACAAAUUUGCAGAAUGAGAUUGUCAUUGAGGAUGAGAUGAAUGAUGAAGAGGAAGAUGACAGAACGUCAAGAGAGACACCUAGACGCCAUGUCACCGCUGAUUCUACAAACUCUAAGAAGAGAAAGAAAGGUAACUGGUCUCGUAGGUCAGAAUCAACGGAUCCUUUUCUCACCAUGUUUGGAGAUGUAAACAGCCAGCUGAAGAGUGUCACUCAGAAUGUUGGCCAAAUGGCAGCAACAAUGGAACGUGAAGCUAUUGCCCAAGAGAAAGCAAUGGAGGAAGAUCCUAGACAGAAGUUUAAAGAGAAAGCUAUCAAUGAAUUAUCAAGGCUUGGAUUCACUGGGACUGAAAUCGUGAAUGCUGCCAGCAUAUUUGCCAAAGCUCCAGAAGAAAUGCAUAUGAUGCUUGCACUCCCGCAGAAUCUGAGGAGGGAGUAUGUUAAGAAAACGCUUGGUAAGUUAAAUUCAUGCACUAUCUGA